UGUCCCUUGUCUAAACGCAGCAUGAACGAAUUUACGAACGGAGACAGAUCCACAAUCCCCUUCCCGAUUUCAUCGUGGGGGACCAUAACAUUAAAGUCAUUAGACCUUAAGGAGUAACAGUAGGCUGGCCUACAGUCAUUAGGAGUACAUUAUUGGGCUAGUUAUAGGUUAAAGGCCUAUGAACAUCACACGCAGCAACUCGGAUGCUCACAUUCCCGCUCACCCGAUCUUGACAUCGCUAAUGAGAAGACCCAGGUCUAUGCAAACACUUUACUGUGACCUAUAGAAAGCCGAAUUAAUUGGGGGGGAGGCACAAAUAGCACCCUAUGUUCAAGGUAUUUUGUACCGUGGGUGAUAUGUUGCUCCCGCGGAGAGCCUUAGAACGAAGGAAGGGCAUCAAUUGUGAAAACGUGUUAUUCAGACACAGGGAGAAACAUUUCCACUGCAGAGGACACAUUCUUCACUAAUCAUCUUGGCAGUGACCUUUUGUGUGGGCUGUGCUAUGUGUCCUUGGACGUAAAGGACCUGAGCCCUAGGAGCAUGCCUCAGGACUACCUGGCCUGAUGACUCCUUGCUGUCCCCAGUCCACCUGGUCAUACUGCUGCUCCAGUUUCAACUGUUCUGCCUUCGGCUAUGGAACCCUGACCUGUUCACUGGACGUGCUACCUUGUCCUGGACCUGCCGUUUUGGACUCUCUCUCUACUGCACCUGCUGUCUCUAACUCUGAAUGAUCGGCUAUGAAAAGCCAACUGACAUUUACUCCUGAGGUGCUGACCUUUUGCACCCUCUACAACCACUGUGAUUAUUAUCUGACCCUGCUGGUCAUCUAUGAAUGUUUGAACAUCUUGGCCGUGUUCUGUUAUAAUCUCCACCCGGCACAGCCAGAAGAGGACUGGCCACCCCUCAUAGCCUGGUUCCUCUCUAGGUUUCUUCCUAGGUUUCUUCCUAUGUUCUGGCCUUUCUAAGGAGUUUUUCCUAGCCACUGUGCUUCUACAUCUGCAUUGCUUGCUUUUUGGGGUUUUAGGCUGUGUUUCUGUACAUCACUUUGUGACAUCGGCUGAUGUAAAAAAGGGCUUUAUAAAUAAGUGUGGUUGAUGAUCCAUUCAUAACUCUUUGUCUGUUGGCAAGGAUACUCACACACUUUUAACUUAUGUUUUUGACAUACAUAAUUACAUUGAGCAUGUACACCAGCUGUAUUAUUCAAUAUGUCUUCACCUGGGAUUUGAACUCACAACCUCUUGGUUCACAGUACUCCAGCACUUCCUGCUACGCCACCAUAUCCAUGCCAGGUAUCAAUUAAUCUGACUAUUUUCUCAUAAUUGAUUUUAUGUACUUAUUUCAGCAAUUGAAGGGCUUUCUGUAUAGUUGUUUAAUGUUGGUGGGGCAUAUUAGCCUGUUUUAAUGAUGCUCCUGAAUCACUAGGAUAAAUAAAAUCGUUUUCUUGAGUAUA